AAUCAACGCUGGCGGCGUGCCUCAGACAUGCAAGUCGAACGACUAAAGCUCUCUUCGGAGAGUGCACAGAGUGGCGCACGGGUGAGUAACACGUAAGUAAUCUACCCUCGAGUGGGGAAUAACGUCCGGAAACGGACGCUAAUACCGCAUAAUGCAGCGGCACCGCAAGGUGACAGUUGUUAAAGAUUUAUCGCUUGAGGAGGAGCUUGCGGUCAGAUUAGCUAGUUGGUAAGGUAAUGGCUUACCAAGGCUACGAUCUGUAACCGGUCUUA
rnacentral:rRNA from 1 species